ACUCCUACGGGAGGCAGCAGUGGGGAAUUUUGGACAAUGGGCGAAAGCCUGAUCCAGCCAUGCCGCGUGCAGGAUGAAGGCCUUCGGGUUGUAAACUGUCUUUGUACGGAACGAAAGCCUCUUUCUAAUAAAGAGGGGUCAUGACGGUACCGUAAGAAUAAGCACCGGCUAACUACGUGCCAGCAGCCGCGGUAAUACGUAGGGUGCAAGCGUUAAUCGGAAUUACUGGGCGUAAAGCGUGCGCAGGCGGUUUUGUAAGACAGAGGUGAAAUCCCCGGGCUCAACCUGGGAACUGCCUUUGUGACUGCAAGGCUGGAGUGCGGCGAGAGGGGGAUGGAAUUCCGCGUGUAGCAGUGAAAUGCGUAGAUAUGCGGAGGAACACCGAUGGCGAAGGCAAUCCCCGUGGGCCUGCACUGACGCUCAUGCACGAAAGCGUGGGAGCAAACAGGAUUAGAUACCCCUGGUAGCGACUGA
rnacentral:rRNA from 1 species